GUCAACUCGGAGGAAGGUGGGGACGACGUCAAGUCAUCAUGCCCCUUAUGUCUUGGGCUGCACACGUGCUACAAUGGCCGGUACAAUGAGCUGCGAUACCGCGAGGUGGAGCGAAUCUCAAAAAGCCGGUCUCAGUUCGGAUUGGGGUCUGCAACUCGACCCCAUGAAGUCGGAGUCGCUAGUAAUCGCAGAUCAGCAUUGCUGCGGUGAAUACGUUCCCGGGCCUUGUACACACCGCCCGUCACGUCACGAAAGUCGGUAACACCCGAAGCCGGUGGCCCAACCCCUUGUGGGGAGGAGCUGUCGAAGGUGGGACUGGCGAGUUGGGACGAAGUCGUAACAAGGUAGCCGUACCGGAAGGUGCGGCUGGAUCACCUCUUUC
rnacentral:ncRNA from 1 species